UGCCAGCCGCCGCGGUAAUACGAAAGGGGCUAGCGUUGUUCGGAAUUACUGGGCGUAAAGCGCACGUAGGCGGCUUGGUAAGUUGGGGGUGAAAUCCCGGGGCUUAACCCCGGAACUGCCCUCAAAACUGUCGAUCUAGAGACCGGGAGAGGUAAGCGGAAUUCCUAGUGUAGAGGUGAAAUUCGUAGAUAUUAGGAAGAACACCAGUGGCGAAGGCGACUUCCUGGGCCAAUACUGACGCUGAGGUGCGAAAGCGUGGGGAGCAAACAGGAUUAGAUA
rnacentral:rRNA from 1 species